rnacentral:rRNA from 1 species
ACAGAGGGUGCGAGCGUUAAUCGGAAUUACUGGGCGUAAAGAGUACGUAGGUUGUUAAAUCAGUCGGAUGUGAAAGCCCCAGGCUUAACUUGGGAAUUGCAUUCGAUACUGUUUGACUAGAGUACGGUAGAGAGAAGCGGAAUUCCUAGUGUAGCGGUGAAAUGCGUAGAUAUUAGGAAGAACACCAGUGGCGAAGGCGGCUUCUUGGAUUGAUACUGACACUGAGGUACGAAAGCGUGGGGAGCAAACAGG